AACGCGAAGAACCUUACCUGGGCUCGAAGCGCAGUGGAAUCCGGUGGAAACAUCGGCGCCCCUUAAAAGGCUGCUGCGGAGGUGCUGCAUGGCUGUCGUCAGCUCGUGUCGUGAGAUGUUGGGUUAAGUCCCGCAACGAGCGCAACCCUUAUCGUUAGUUGCCAGCGAGUCAAGUCGGGCACUCUAGCGAAACCGCCCCGGAUAACGGGGAGGAAGGUGGGGAUGACGUCAAGUCCUCAUGGCCUUUAUGUCCAGGGCUACACACGUGCUACAAUGGUCGGUACAAAGCGCUGCCAACCCGCGAGGGGGAGCUAAUCGCCAAAAACCGUCCUCAGUUCGGAUUGCAGGCUGCAACUCGCCUGCAUGAAGCUGGAAUCGCUAGUAAUGCUAUAUCAGAACGAUAGCGUGAAUACGUUCCCGGGCCUUGUACACACCGGAGUA
rnacentral:rRNA from 1 species